UACGUAGGGCGCGAGCGUUGUCCGGAAUUAUUGGGCGUAAAGAGCUCGUAGGCGGCCUGUUGCGUCCGCUGUGAAAUCCCAGGGCUCAACCCUGGGCGUGCAGUGGAUACGGGCAGGCUGGAGGCAGGCAGGGGAGAACGGAAUUCCCGGUGUAGCGGUGAAAUGCGUAGAGAUCGGAAAGAACACCAACGGCGAAAGCACUCUGCUGGGCCGACACUGACACUGAGAGACGAAAGCUAGGGGAGCGAAUGGG
rnacentral:rRNA from 1 species